UGGGGAAUCUUGCGCAAUGGGCGAAAGCCUGACGCAGCGACGCCGCGUGAGGGAAGAAGGUCUUCGGAUCGUAAACCUCUGUCGGAGGGGAAGAAACUACAGUGUGCUAAUACCACAUUGUAUUGACGGUACCCUCUGAGGAAGCAUCGGCUAACUACGUGCCAGCAGCCGCGGUAAUACGUAGGAUGCAAGCGUUGCUCGGAAUUAUUGGGUGUAAAGGGCGCGUAGGCGGCUUGGUCAGUCACGGGUGAAAGCCCCCGGCUUAACUGGGGAAUUGCCCGUGAUACUGCCAAGCUAGAGUACGGGAGAGGGAAGUGGAAUUCCUGGUGUAGCGGUGAAAUGCGUAGAUAUCAGGAGGAACACCGGUGGCGAAGGCGGCUUCCUGGACCGAUACUGACGCUG
rnacentral:rRNA from 1 species